rnacentral:rRNA from 1 species
AUAAAAGAAAGUAAAUAAGGGCGCAUGGCGGAUGCCUUGGCUCUCGGAGGCGAUGAAGGACGUGAUAAGCUGCGAUAAGCUUCGGGUAGGUGCAAAUGACCUUUGAUCCGAAGAUUUCCGAAUGGGACAACCCGGCAUUCUGAAGGAAUGUCAUCCAACCUGGUUGGAGGCUAACGCAGGGAACUGAAACAUCUUAGUACCUGCAGGAAAAGAAAAUAAAUAAUGAUUCCCCUAGUAGUGGCGAGCGAACGGGGAUUAGCCCAAACCACCCAUGUUACGGCAUGUGUGG